rnacentral:rRNA from 1 species
UGGGGAAUAUUGGACAAUGGGCGAAAGCCUGAUCCAGCCAUGCCGCGUGUGUGAAGAAGGUCUUCGGAUUGUAAAGCACUUUAAGUUGGGAGGAAGGGCAGUAAGCGAAUACCUUGCUGUUUUGACGUUACCGACAGAAUAAGCACCGGCUAACUCUGUGCCAGCAGCCGCGGUAAUACAGAGGGUGCGAGCGUUAAUCGGAUUUACUGGGCGUAAAGCGUGCGUAGGCGGCUAAUUGAGUCGGAUGUGAAAUCCCCGAGCUUAACUUGGGAAUUGCAUUCGAUACUGGUUAGCUAGAGUGUGGGAGAGGAUGGUAGAAUUCCAGGUGUAGCGGUGAAAUGCGUAGAGAUUUGGAGGAAUACCGAUGGCGAAGGCAGCCAUCUGGCCUAACACUGACGCUGAGGUACGAAAGCAUGGGGAGCAAACAGG